CCUACGGGUGACAGCAGUGAGGACUAUUGGUCAAUGGGCGCGAGCCUGAACCAGCCAAGUCGCGUGAGGGAAGACGGUCCUAUGGAUUGUAAACCUCUUUUGUCGGGGAGCAAAAGACGCCACGCGUGGCGUUCCGAGAGUACCCGAAGAAAAAGCAUCGGCUAACUCCGUGCCAGCAGCCGCGGUAAUACGGGGGAUGCGAGCGUUAUCCGGAUGUAUUGGGGUUAAAGGGUGCGCAGGCGGAAGAUCAAGUCAGCGGUAAAAUUGAGAGGCUCAACCUCUUCGAGCCGUUGAAACUGGUUUUCUUGAGUGAGUGAGAAGUAUGCGGAAUGCGGGGGGUAGCGGUGAAAUGCAUAGAUAUCACGCAGAACUCCGAUUGCGAAGGCAGCAUACCGGCGCUCAACUGACGCUCAUGCACGAAAGUGUGGGUAUCGAACAGGAUUAGAUACCCCAGUAGUC
rnacentral:rRNA from 1 species